UGCAAGAGAUGGUGAUCCAGG
rnacentral:piRNA from 1 species